GACGAACGCUGGCGGCGUGCUUAACACAUGCAAGUCGAACGGAAAGGCCCUGCUUGCAGGGUACUCGAGUGGCGAACGGGUGAGUAACACGUGGGUGAUCUGCCCCGCACUUUGGGAUAAGCCUGGGAAACUGGGUCUAAUACCGGUUAGGAGCCCUUCUUAGUGUGGUGGUUGGAAAGUUUUUUCGGUGUAGGAUGAGCUCGCGGCCUAUCUGCUUGUUGGUGGGGUAAUGGCCUACCUAGGCGGCGGCGGGUAGCCGGCCUGGGGGGGUGGACGGCCACAUUGGGACUGAGGUACGGCCCAGGCUCCUACGGGAGGCAACAGUGGGGAAUAUUGCACCAUGGGCGCAAGCCUGGUGCAGCGACGCCGCGUGGGGGAUGACGGCCUUCGGGUUGUAAACUCCUUUCGCUAGGGACGAAGCUUUUUGUGACGGUACCUAGAUAAGAAGCACCGGCUAACUACGUG
rnacentral:rRNA from 1 species